AGAGUUUGAUCCUGGCUCAGAACGAACGUUAGCGGCGCGCUUAACACAUGCAAGUCGUGCGAGAAAGGGGAAACCCCGGUAAAGCGGCGCACGGGUGAGUAACACGUAGGUAAUCUACCCCCAGGUGGUGGAUAACGUUCCGAAAGGAGCGCUAAUACAGCAUAAGACCACGAUUCCGCAAGGGAUUGAGGUCAAAGCCG
rnacentral:rRNA from 1 species